CUCAUUUUUCCCGGGCUUUCGGUCGGCGUUUUCCUUUUUUCGCGGGUUUGGGCGCGCAUCGAACUCUGAAGGGUCGGGAAGGCCUGUCGUUGGAAUGUGGUUGAGUUCCAGGGAGUGUACAGGCUGGAGGAUGGGACAAGACCUAUCUCUGUAUCGAUCAAGCACGGCGUUGGUGUUCCAGCUCAUCACCAAUCCUAAGGAAUUCAAGUGCCUCCCAGGAUGAAUACAGGUUGUCUUGAUGGUGAUACAUUCAUCUGUCUUAAGAUCCCUGCUGAUCUGCUCAUGGUCAAACUCAUGGAAAGAGUUGAGAGUGGGGCACCUUGUUCCUGCAUCCUCAAAGGAGCAUCUUGUUCCAGAGUUAAAAGGUUCCAGAGUUAAAAGGUACCUGUACCAUUUAGCGGCUUGUUCACUCAAAGAUCCAUCUUUUCUGGAGCCUGAGGAUGAUUGGAGGUGAAAGGUGUAAGCCAUACUCUGCUCAACUCCAGUCUGAAACUAAGGUUUAAAGAAAGAACACGUACUUAACACACGGGAAUCCAACUCUUGGAGGACAUCAGAAGUGGAAUUUUCUUAUACAACCUACCUAUUCAAAUUAGCAUAUAAUCUUUCUAGCCUUUCUAAAUAAAUAAAGGGAUUUUUUUGU
rnacentral:lncRNA from 1 species